rnacentral:lncRNA from 1 species
UUCUCAAGCUAGUUUCAUGUCUUGAAGUUAACAUUCAAUGGCUAUACAGGGGAUAAGCAACUUAGAUUAGUAGUGGUAGAUUCACUCCAAUUUUGCAAAACUCUCUUUGAAUUUCAACCUAUUCUUAAGCGGAGGGAUGUAAAUAGCUACCGGCUAGAUGUAAUAUUUUUAUAUGAAGAGCGGAUAUGAGCCAUAUUGCAAUUGUGAAAGCCUUGAAGAAAAGGAACGUUCAUAUAGAAGAUUCUACUUACUUGUGUAGAGAUGGUGAAGAUUCGGUUCACCACAUCUUUACUACGUGCUUUGUUGCUUCUGUGGUUUAGGCUCAUAUAAGUAUGUGGUGCAAGAUCACUAAUCUGUUUUUCUUUGCUUUCAAGGAUAUUUUAGAGAUACACGAUUAUGUUGGCUUAAAAGAUGCUGAUUAGGAGGUGUUUAAAGGGAUUCUUAGGAUCGGUUGCUGGAGUAUUUGGAGGGCCAGGAAUGAGGCACGAUUUAACAACAAAGAGGUAAAGAUCGAAGAAAUUAUUAGCGAAAUAAAGGCAGUAGGUUACCUUUGGUUUAAGAAUAGGUUGAAAUUCAAAGAGAUCUCUUGACAAAAUUAAUGUAAAUUUGUAAUUAUGUAAGUUGUGGUUGUUCAGCGUCUCGGUUUGAGGUUGCCUUUUUCUAAUGAAAUUUACAUUUAAAAAAAACAAUUCAUUGAUUAGAGCCGAUCUGUAUUGAAGAAUAAUAAUUAUAAACUUUUAUAAUUUCACAUGACAUCAUGACUUCAUCUUGGGGUAAUAGUAAUCGGUUUUAAAAAUUUUACUAGGCACAUUUUGGGGGUGAUGAUCCUCCCGGUUUUUACCCAGCAACCAUUAUUCUUGAUUGUGAACGGGUUACAUUGUUAAACCGUGCAUGUUAAAAGGGCUAAUGUGCCACCAACCCCAAUGGUGA